rnacentral:misc_RNA from 1 species
GAUGAAGAACGUAGCGAAAUGCGAUAAGUAAUGUGAAUUGCAGAAUUCAGUGAAUCAUCGAAUCUUUGAACGCACAUUGCGCCCGCCAGCAUUCUGGCGGGCAUGCCUGUUCGAGCGUCAUUUCAACCCUCAAGCUCUGCUUGGUGUUGGGGCCCUACGUCUGACGUAGGCCCUCAAAGACAGUGGCGGACCCUCUCGGAGCCUCCUUUGCGUAGUAACUAACGUCUCGCACCGGGAUUCGGAGGGACUCUUGCCGUAAAACCCCCAAUUUUUACAGGUUGACCUCGGAUCAGGUAGGAAUACCCGCUGAACUUAAGCAUAUCAAUAAGCGGAGGA